rnacentral:rRNA from 1 species
UACAUGCAAGUCGAACGAGAGCGACCGGUGCUUGCACUGGUCAAUCUAGUGGCGAACGGGUGAGUAACACGUGGGUAACCUGCCCAUCAGAGGGGGAUAACAUUCGGAAACGGAUGCUAAAACCGCAUAGGUCUUCGAACCGCAUGGUUUGAAGAGGAAAAGAGGCGCAAGCUUCUGCUGAUGGAUGGACCCGCGGUGCAUUAGCUAGUUGGUGAGGUAACGGCUCACCAAGGCCGUGAUGCAUAGCCGACCUGAGAGGGUGAUCGGCCACAUUGGGACUGAGACACGGCCCAAACUCCUACGGGAGGCAGCAGUAGGGAAUCUUCCGCAAUGGACGCAAGUCUGACGGAGCAACGCAGCGUGAGUGAAGAAGGUUUUCGGAUCGUAAAACUCUGUUGUUAGAGAAGAACAAGUGCUAGAGUAACUGUUAGCACCUUGACGGUAUCUAACCAGAAAGCCACGGCUAACUACGUGCCAGCAGCCGCGGUAAUACGUAGGUGGCAAGCGUUGUCCGGAUUUAUUGGGCGUAAAGCGAGCGCAGGCGGUUCCUUAAGUCUGAUGUGAAAGCCCCCGGCUCAACCGGGGAGGGUCAUUGGAAACUGGGGAACUUGAGUGCAGAAGAGGAGAGUGGAAUUCCAUGUGUAGCGGUGAAAUGCGUAGAUAUAUGGAGGAACACCAGUGGCGAAGGCGACUCUCUGGUCUGUAACUGACGCUGAGGCUCGAAAGCGUGGGUAG